rnacentral:rRNA from 1 species
CCUACGGGCGGCAGCAGUGGGGAAUAUUGCACAAUGGGGGAAACCCUGAUGCAGCGACGCCGCGUGAGGGAGGAAGUAUCUCGGUAUGUAAAGCUCCAUCAGUAGGGAAGUAAAUGACGGUACCUGACUAUGAAGCCCCGGCUAAUUACGUGCCAGCAGCCGCGGUAAUACGGAGAGGGCAAGCGUUAUCCGGAUUUACUGGGUGUAAAGGGAGCGUAGACGGCUAAUCAAGUCAGAAGUGAAAUCCCAGGGCUCAACCUUGGGACUGCUUUUGAAACUGAGUAGCUAGAGUGCAGGAGAGGUAAGCGGAAUUCCUGGUGUAGCGGUGAAAUGCGUAGAUAUUAGGAAGAACACCGGUGGCGAAGGCAGCUUACUAGACUAUAACUGACGUUGAGGCUCGAAAGCGUGGGGAGCAAACAGGAUUAGAUACCCUUGUAGUC